AGCGAACGCUGGCGGUAGGCCUAACACAUGCAAGUCGAACGGCAGCACAGUAAGAGCUUGCUCUUACGGGUGGCGAGUGGCGGACGGGUGAGGAAUACAUCGGAAUCUACUUUUUCGUGGGGGAUAACGUAGGGAAACUUACGCUAAUACCGCAUACGACCUACGGGUGAAAGCAGGGGAUCUUCGGACCUUGCGCGAUUGAAUGAGCCGAUGUCGGAUUAGCUAGUUGGCGGGGUAAAGGCCCACCAAGGCGACGAUCCGUAGCUGGUCUGAGAGGAUGAUCAGCCACACUGGAACUGAGACACGGUCCAGACUCCUACGGGAGGCAGCAGUGGGGAAUAUUGGACAAUGGGCGCAAGCCUGAUCCAGCCAUACCGCGUGGGUGAAGAAGGCCUUCGGGUUGUAAAGCCCUUUUGUUGGGAAAGAAAAGCAGCAGGUUAAUACCCCGCUGUUUUGACGGUACCCAAAGAAUAAGCACCGGCUAACUUCGUG
rnacentral:rRNA from 1 species